rnacentral:tRNA from 1 species
GCUCCCUUCGCUUAGUCGGUUAAAGCGAAGGUCUCAUAUCUAAUUCUGUAAGAGCUGAGCCCCGAUUGGGGUGUAAUCCUUAGCCCUGAGUUCGAUUCUCAGAGGGAGCA